UACGAAGGGGCUAGCGUUGUUCGGAAUUACUGGGCGUAAAGCGCACGUAGGCGGAUAUUUAAGUCAGGGGUGAAAUCCCAGAGCUCAACUCUGGAACUGCCUUUGAUACUGGGUAUCUUGAGUAUGGAAGAGGUAAGUGGAAUUGCGAGUGUAGAGGUGAAAUUCGUAGAUAUUCGCAGGAACACCAGUGGCGAAGGCGGCUUACUGGUCCAUUACUGACGCUGAGG
rnacentral:rRNA from 1 species